CAGCGAUCCGGCUGGUUUGGAGGAACGAAAAAUGCCGCCUGGGCAGACGGGGAGAGAAGGUGAGUGGGUGCCCGGCUCACGCGCGCGCUCUCCCGUCAUUGGUUGUGACGUCACGAGUAUCCGCUCUCUCCCUCUUUUCUCGUCCUCCUCUCUGGUUUCGGAGCUCAGGGUUGCCCUCCCGAAAAGGGAAAAAGCGAGAGUGGCCUCCGGGCGAAGUCACACCUUCCGUCGGAUUCGAUUGUGCAGCAGGCUCGGCGUCGAAACAUGGAAGCCCUGCUGCCCAGCCCGGCAUCGAGCGAGGAGAUGGUGUCUUCGGCUUACUACGGCCACCAGCUGGCCGCUGCGUGGUCGGCGACGCCUCUGUCAUCAUUGCCUGGAUUUUGUUCGAGCCAUGGAAACCGCGGUUUCAACCCGGAAACGCCAUCACCGGACAACUCUUCCAGUUGGGAGUCACAGCUCGAGUCUGACUCCCCAACCAGAGACGCCGUCAGGACGGUGGCUGACCUUGUUCCCGUGAAGGGUCCCUUCGUCGCCGCUGGCAUCGCAAGCAGUGACGUCGAUCCUGCCGCCGUCGUGGUUUCUUCUACGUCAGCGGCAUCCGGCUGUUCUGGCUCGCGCGAUGGUGUCAAGCCCGUUCCUUCGCACCGGGAGAAGCCGCCGCACCUUGUGGCCCGGAGGAAUGCCAGAGAGCGACGCAGAGUGCAGGCAGUGAACAACGCGUUCUGCAGGCUACGGAAGUGCGUGCCGGUCGAGAACAGGGCCAAGAGACUGUCAAAGGUCAAAACAUUGCACAAGGCAAUCGAGUACAUAUAUGCUCUUCAGGACCUUCUAGACCAAGCCGACGAAGAAGCUGGCGCUCCAGCGGUAGCAGUACCGAACAUGGCAGAGGUUGAAGAGAUACGCAAGAGUGAGCACUCAGUUAUGAAACAGAAAGGAAACGAACCACCCUGUGACCAACAACGCUGGAUCAAUCUCGAAAAUGUUGAUCGAGGCACAGAGAGUUACCAAGGCUUCGUCAACUUCUACGAACAGUUUCCAACAACGUAUGCAACCUGAAUGCACUGUGUACGAAGGGUGGAAUUCAAGUUGGUGGUGACGCUGAUGGGCAGGCGAAGUGAUAUAUGUGCAUUAUACGGUUCAAGCGAGCUACGAAGGUAGGAAUGCACUAGUAAAGAAGCACAGCUUCAUUCUGCAAUAAGCUGUGACCAUCAGGGAUGCAUUCGUGGCGCCUUGAGGAUCAUCUGCUGCUGCAUCCAAUUCACUCAUCCAUGCAAAGCAGGACAUCGGGCUUGAAUGCGACAUGAUGCAGUUGCUUUUCUGAACUUGGUGGUCCUCAUUUCAAUAAUGGAAAGCUGGUGAUACGGAACUCACACCAUUGCCAGUGGUCCAUGCGAGUACCGUUGCUACACGGGCUGUGGAUACAUGUUUCCGGUGCAAAAGUUUAGGAUGAAUGCGGAUGAAGUUGCGAGAAGGACAUACGAAGGCCCGGAAUGGGGGAUAUUAAAU